GACGAACGCUGGCGGCGUGCCUAAUACAUGCAAGUAGAACGCUGAAGGAGGAGCUUGCUUCUCUGGAUGAGUUGCGAACGGGUGAGUAACGCGUAGGUAACCUGCCUGGUAGCGGGGGAUAACUAUUGGAAACGAUAGCUAAUACCGCAUAAGAGUAGAUGUUGCAUGACAUUUACUUAAAAGGUGCAAUUGCAUCACUACCAGAUGGACCUGCGUUGUAUUAGCUAGUUGGUGAGGUAACGGCUCACCAAGGCAACGAUACAUAGCCGACCUGAGAGGGGGAUCGGCCACCCUGGGACUGAGACACGGCCCAGACUCCUACGGGAGGCAGCCGUAGGGAAUCUUCGGCAAUGGACGGAAGUCUGACCGAGCAACGCCGCGUGAGUGAAGAAGGGUUUCGGAUCGUAAAGCUCUGUUGUAAGAGAAGAACGAGUGUGAGAGUGGAAAGUUCACACUGUGACGGUAUCUUACCAGAAAGGGACGGCUAACUACGUG
rnacentral:rRNA from 1 species